ensembl:lncRNA
CUCAGCUUCUCAUAAAGCCAAGAAGUCAAUCACUGAACUGAAAAAAGCAGCAGUCAACACAGUGAGGAGGGUCAGAAGUUGUCAGCCAAAUUGCAGUUAGAGAACUUGUAUUACUGCCAUGCCAGGCAGAAGAGACUCCUCUAGUUAUUGAGAGGUGUGUUGCAGAUAGCCAAAUGGAAUUCUGCUGUGAAAACUCAGGUGGAGAGAAAUGCCAGUGAAGUUAAUCAGUGCCAAAAUUAGUUUGGAGUGAAUCCUCUGAAUGCCUUUUCUGAAGUCCAAAGGAAGGAACUGUCAACACUGGACUAUUUCUACAGGCCCUACAGAUGAGGAGAUUUGUAUCUUAAUGAUAUUGGACUUACAGAGCUUGCCUACCUGCCUCUGACUGUUGACGGACACUCACAGGUGAACUUGACUGCGUUUUCUCAUCAAGGUCAGUGCAGGCCAAGUGCUACUGACAUAAAUGAGACAUGAACAUGCUAACCUGACAUCUGUUUUUUGAAAAAUGACACUCAUUUCUGGCACAAACAGUACAUUUAAUCUGUUAACUGAUAACUAAUCAAAGUUUUGGUGUAGUAUUUGAGACAUCAGGGCUACAGAUCUAUUAAUACCCUGUUAGAACACUUGCAUCGGUAACACCAUCAGGAUAAGCUCUGUCCUGGGACACAUGACAGGUAAAUUGUUGAUUGUUACUUUCCUACUUGCCUUGUGAGGCAGUGCCUCCUUCUAAAGUUAGAAAACCUGCUCUUUGGUGACUAUAGAGUGUGAAAUGAUUGUGGCACACAACCAGAGAGGGAGGGAGAAAGGAG